rnacentral:piRNA from 1 species
UUCUGUGGUGAAGAGGACCUGUAAG